GACGAACGCUGGCGGCGUGCUUAACACAUGCAAGUCGAACGGAAAGGCCCUGCUUUUGUGGGGUGCUCGAGUGGCGAACGGGUGAGUAACACGUGAGUAACCUGCCCUUGACUUUGGGAUAACUUCAGGAAACUGGGGCUAAUACCGGAUAGGAGCUCCUGCUGCAUGGUGGGGGUUGGAAAGUUUCGGCGGUUGGGGCUGGACUCGCGGCUUAUCGGCUUGUUGGUGGGGUAGUGGCUUACCAAGGCUUUGACGGGUAGCCGGCCUGAGAGGGUGACCGGCCACAUUGGGACUGAGAUACGGCCCAGACUCCUACGGGAGGCAGCAGUGGGGAAUAUUGCACAAUGGGCGGAAGCCUGAUGCAGCAACGCCGCGUGCGGGAUGACGGCCUUCGGGUUGUAAACCGCUUUCGCCUGUGACGAAGCGUGAGUGACGGUAAUGGGUAAAGAAGCACCGGCUAACUACGUG
rnacentral:rRNA from 1 species